rnacentral:rRNA from 1 species
CUAACGCUGGUGGCGUGUCUUAGUCAUGCAAGUCGAACGAGAAAGCACCCUUCGGGGUGCAAGUACAGUGGCGAACGGGUGAGUAACACGUGGGCAACCUGCCCUGAGGUGGGGGACAACCCUUCUAACGAGGGGCUAAUACCGCAUAACAUACGGUCAUCGCAUGGUGGCCGUAUCAAAGGGGCUUCGGUCCCGCCUAAGGAUGGGCCCGCGUUCCAUUAGCUUGUUGGUGAGGUAACGGCUCACCAAGGCUUCGAUGGAUAGCCGGCCUGAGAGGGUGAUCGGCCACACUGGAACUGAGAUAAGGUCCAGUCCCCUACGGGGGCCAGCAGUCUAGAAAUUUGCGCAAUGGACGAAAGUCUGACGCAGCGACGCCACGUGGAGGAUGAAGCCCCUAGGGGUGUAAACUCCUGUCAGGAGGGAAGAAUGCGGUGAAUAACUUUCGCCGUUUGACGGUACCUCCAAAGGAAGCUCCGGCUAACUCU